UACGUAGGGUGCAAGCGUUAAUCGGAAUUACUGGGCGUAAAGGGUGCGCAGGCGGUUUGUUAAGUCAGAUGUGAAAUCCCCGGGCUCAACCUGGGAAUGGCAUUUGAGACUGGCAGGCUAGAGUGUGUCAGAGGGGGGUAGAAUUCCACGUGUAGCAGUGAAAUGCGUAGAUAUGUGGAGGAAUACCGAUGGCGAAGGCAGCCCCCUGGGAUAACACUGACGCUCAGGCACGAAAGCGUGGGGAGCAAACAGG
rnacentral:rRNA from 1 species